UAAAGUUUCAGAAAGUUUCCCUAAACUCAAACAAUUCGUCGUCGGUUCUACAAAAUACCUACUCCUAGGAACAAUCUAAAAAGCUCGCCGUUUUAAUAAAACCGCUGCCUUCAGGCGGUGCAGAUACGGCAUUUUAAAUAUUUAACUGACUAAAAAUCACUGCAGUAAUACUUUGUGUGGCGUGUGAUAAAAUAAAUAACCGUUUUUUAACAAGCAACGUGAAUGUCGUACAUUGUUUUUUAAUAAUAGAUUGAAUAUUGGCGGAUUGAUUCAGAUGUCAUAUUUUUGUGAUUCUUUGACUUCCCAAUUAGAGCUAGCUGGGUUGUAACAGGAAUGCUUGCUUAAUUUCUUAGUCAGCUAAUCUCAUUUCUAGUGCAGGCCAUUGUAUCAUCUAUGGUGCAGGCCAGGCCGGGUCAACUCUCGAACAAAGUUUGGUUAUACCUACGGGGGCUAGACCUGUGGUGUCAUCAUCCAUACGGUUCUACCGUCUGGUAGUUGUAGCAAUAUUAUUAUCGUUAGUAGCUCACGCCUGACAUAAUAUUUUGAUAAAUCUAAUACAUUUUUAGAUUUAAAUAUGACUUUAAUAACUGAAUAAAUACUUUUCUUCUACAAAAAUAUAGAGAGACACUCUCGUUGAAUAUUGUUUUAGUAACGUAUGGGUAAGAUUUUCUAAACGAAGUGUGGCAACCCCAAUAACUUAAUAAAAAAUAAAUAUGUUAUAAAAUGAAAAUGGCGUCAUUUCACCAAAUAAAACACGAAUUCACGAAUAAUAAAAUAAAUGUUUGCCACGGCCUGUUAAUAUUUAUGAAGACCUCUUCAUGGAUUGGAUUUAAGCAACCUGCUGUGUAAUAUCCUCGCCAUUCUUGAUGUUGAGAAGAUCUAUAAGUCUUUAUAUAAGUCUUUUGCGUUUCAUCUGAGUGUUGUGGUUUUUCAUUAUGUUAAAAAUAAGACUUUGUUAGUUCAAGUGUCUCUAUAACUAUGAAGAAGAACAAAAGAAAAUGCUUUGAGUGUGGUUCUUCACCUGCCGAUGAUCCAGAGAAGACCCUACAGAGAUUACAGAAAUUUGAUUCUACAAAUUUAGUCUCCGUAAUGUCCAGAUAAUCAAUGAUUAGACUAUUGGACUUUUAGAAUAAAUUUUACAUUGAACUAUGAAUGGUUUGUCAUCUACAUUUUUAAAAAAGACGAGAUGUUUUGCCUGUAAGAACAAGAGAGAGAGAGAAUAAGAAGCAAUCCUGCUUCUUCACAUGAAUUUUACCUGCAUGACGACGGUUUUUAAUAUAAAAAUAUUUACACAAUGUCUCAAAAAGCAAUCAAAGCUUUCAAAAAUAAACAAUGUUCGCAGAAGUUCAGUACCAACAAACUCACAAAAAAUGAGCCCAAAAUUUAGCAAGCCAGACUAAGAAAUUUCAAGAAGAUAAUUUAAAAGAAGACAAUAGAAUAAAAUAAUAUUAACACACAAUGCUUAGCAAAUAUAGCAUUAACAGAGGGAAACCAGGCAAUAGGUGUAGCAAAAUAGAAGAUGAAGGUCUAGCUGUGCCAGUCAGUGCUGCCACACAGUUGCUGCUGGCAUGUUUGCAAAAUAGCACAAGGUGUAGCAAAAUAGAAGAUGAAGGUCUAGCUGUGCCAGUCAGUGCUGCCACACAGUUGCUGCUGGCAUGUUUGCAAAAUAGCACAAGGUA